rnacentral:rRNA from 1 species
UACGAAGGGGGCUAGCGUUGCUCGGAAUCACUGGGCGUAAAGGGUGCGUAGGCGGGUCUUUAAGUCAGGGGUGAAAUCCUGGAGCUCAACUCCAGAACUGCCUUUGAUACUGAAGAUCUUGAGUACGGGAGAGGUGAGUGGAACUGCGAGUGUAGAGGUGAAAUUCGUAGAUAUUCGCAAGAACACCAGUGGCGAAGGCGGCUCACUGGCCCGAUACUGACGCUGAGGCACGAAAGCGUGGGGAGCAAACAGG